GUCGAGCGGACAGAUGGGAGCUUGCUCCCUGAUGUUAGCGGCGGACGGGUGAGUAACACGUGGGUAACCUGCCUGUAAGACUGGGAUAACUCCGGGAAACCGGGGCUAAUACCGGAUGCUUGUUUGAACCGCAUGGUUCAAACAUAAAAGGUGGCUUCGGCUACCACUUACAGAUGGACCCGCGGCGCAUUAGCUAGUUGGUGAGGUAAUGGCUCACCAAGGCAACGAUGCGUAGCCGACCUGAGAGGGUGAUCGGCCACACUGGGACUGAGACACGGCCCAGACUCCUACGGGAGGCAGCAGUAGGGAAUCUUCCGCAAUGGACGAAAGUCUGACGGAGCAACGCCGCGUGAGUGAUGAAGGUUUUCGGAUCGUAAAGCUCUGUUGUUAGGGAAGAACAAGUGCCGUUCAAAUAGGGCGGCACCUUGACGGUACCUAACCAGAAAGCCACGGCUAACUACGUGCCAGCAGCCGCGGUAAUACGUAUGUGGCAAGCGUUGUCCGGAAUUAUUGGGC
rnacentral:rRNA from 1 species